UUAUCUUUACUGCAAACCUCCUCAAUAGCUUACUGCCUUCUGUGUUUUUACGAACGUGUUUCAAAGUUUAGUGCUUUCCGAAUCGGGGUUUAAGACGCAAAUCAGUUUUAUCGUACGAACGUCAUAUUUCAGUUUGCGCUUACGUUCUGAUUUCCAUUAUAACUGCAAACUGCCUUUAUAUCUUUGCGUUAACUGCAUCUCGCCUUAUCUCAAGUUAAAGUGGUUUACGAAUCAGCUUUUAUACCGAAAUCGCUUUUAUCGUAUGAACGUCGUAUUUCAGUUUGCGCUUAUAUUCUGAUUUCCAUCAUAACUGCAAACUGCGUUUAUAUCUUUUCUGCAUCUCUCCUAGUCAAAAGUUGAAGUGAUUUACGAAUCGGCUUUCUUACCAAAAUCACUUUUAU
rnacentral:lncRNA from 1 species